AAGGGACAGCUACACAGCGAUGUGAUGCUAAUCUCCAAACCAAUGUCUCAGUUCGGAUCGGAGUCUGCAACUCGACUCCGUGAAGCUGGAUUCGCUAGUAAUCGCGCAUCAGCCAUGGCGCGGUGAAUACGUUCCCGGGCCUUGUACACACCGCCCGUCAAGCCAUGGGAGCCGGGGGUACCUGAAGUCCGUAACCGCGAGGAUCGGCCUAGGGUAAAACUGGUGACUGGGGCUAAGUCGUAACAAGGUAUC
rnacentral:rRNA from 1 species